UCCAGGCAGACACUUCUGAUGCUGCCCUUCCACACACACCUUCAGGCCACACAGCUACAAUCACCCCCCCAAUAUUUUGUGAACACAGUCCAUAGAUUAAUGUGAGACCAUCCUUGGGCAGAAGAAGCAGCUUGAAAGCAAUGGAGAAUGGGAAGAAGAAACAAGGGGCUGGGCAGGAUGAACACAACAGUGAGAUGAGAGUGGAAAACAUUAAGAGAUCUGGAGAGGUUCUCCUGUCUCAAAUAGAUUCCUUCAUGCCUGCUUCCAAGGACUCUCAACGGUACAUAUUGCCUUUCACAAAUGCCUCACAGCAUUUUGGAGUGAGCCUGAAUAAGAGUGGGAUCAGUGGGAGCUCAAGUAGAAGAUUCUCUCUCUGUCUCCAGCCUCACCCCACCUCUUUGAGAAGGCAAGCAAUGGAUAUUUGUUAUACAUGUGAAGUCAUGCAAAGCAUACUUCCAUAGUAGUGAUGUUUCAAAAAGAAAAAAGCAAGAAGAAUAAAGAAAGUAACCAAAAAUGUGCUUUAAUCUGCACUCAGGGUCAGCAGUUCUCUCUUUGGAGGCAGAAAGCAUUUUUCAUCAUGAAUCCUUUCAGCUAUAAAACCCAAUAGAAUUGGUCAUUGGCUGCAAGGGGAGGGGGAGAGGAGAGGAGGGAAAGAACAUGAAAAAUAUAACCAUGGAAAAAUAGUCUAAAUUAAUUAAAUAAACAAACUUUAAAAUAAUAAUAA